rnacentral:rRNA from 1 species
GAUGAACGCUGGCGGCGUGCCUAAUACAUGCAAGUCGAGCGAACAGACGAGGAGCUUGCUCCUCUGACGUUAGCGGCGGACGGGUGAGUAACACGUGGAUAACCUACCUAUAAGACUGGGAUAACUUCGGGAAACCGGAGCUAAUACCGGAUAAUAUAUUGAACCGCAUGGUUCAAUAGUGAAAGACGGUUUUGCUGUCACUUAUAGAUGGAUCCGCGCCGCAUUAGCUAGUUGGUAAGGUAACGGCUUACCAAGGCAACGAUGCGUAGCCGACCUGAGAGGGUGAUCGGCCACCCUGGAACUGAGACACGGUCCAGACUCCUACGGGAGGCCGCAGUAGGGAAUCUUCCGCAAUGGGCGAAAGCUUGACGGAGCAACGCCGCGUGAGUGAUGAAGGUCUUCGGAUCGUAAAGCUCUGUUAUUAGGGAAGAACAAAUGUGUAAGUAACUAUGCACGUCUUGACGGUACCUAAUCAGAAAGCCACGGCUAACUACGUG